CACUGUGGCGCAGUGGAUUAAGCCAUGACCUGCAGCACCGGCAUCCUAUAUGAGCGCAGGUUUGAGUCCCAGCUGCUCUACCUCCCAUCCAGCUCCCUGCUAUUCUAGGUCCCGGCUUUCGGCCUGACCUAGUACUCGCUGUUACAGCCAUUUGGGGAGUGAACUAGCAGAUGGAAGAUCUCUUUCUCUGCCUCUAGCUCUCUCUGCAACUCUGCUUUUGAAAUAAAUAAAAGCAACUCUUUAAAUAAAAUAGUUCAUAUACUGUACAACCAUGCACAUGAAUGUGGGUCUAAGGUCCUAGACAUUCCCACCUGCAGAAGAGUGAGAAAUAAAUUUCUGAUGUUUUUCAGUUACCCAGUAGUCAAGGUAUUUUGCUAUGAUAGCAUGAAAGGACUGAGACAUCUGAGAAUGUCUCACUUUCUCAGCAUUUGAAGGACAGUUUUGGAGAUAGAGUUCUCUGUUGAUGCUUACUUUGCCUUCCACACCUGGACAAUAUGAAUCAUUGGCUUCUGGUUCCCCACUGUUUCUCAUUGAGAAAUCUGAUGAUGAAUUUUGUGGGGAAAUAACGAUGAAAGAUACCUUCCUCUCAGCUCUACAGAUAUUAACAUGUACUUAGUGGUGUCUUGGGCAACAAAACAUUUUGUUGUAGUGUCAGGAUGCCAGUGCAGUUGUCCCAUCAUUCUGAGACCUGUCAUUCAGAGAUUAAAGAGAAAGGAAUGGAUAUUUUCAGUGUAGACAGUAGGAGCUCUUCAAAAGCCAAAAGUUAUUAUAGAUGUUGAAAAUGAAAAGGAAAAGGCCAUUGAAACAUUCUGUUGGUUUUUAUUUCUCAAAAAGUAAGUAUCAAUCUCUAUCACUAUCCUAAGGUGGGGAGAAAAGCUUUUGGGAUUCUUUCAUUUGUUCAAUCAGAAAGGUUCUUGAGAAGACUAACGUGGACUGUCUCCAGCUGUGAUUGGUCCAUUUCUUGCUCUAACAUCAUAAGGAGCCACUAUUAUGUAAUAAUUCCAAAUGCCUAUGUAAGCCCCUGGCUAGGCCUAGGUUCUUGUCCAUUUUGCCCAUAAAGCUCUUUUUUGGACCAAGCUAGCUAGUUUUUCACUUGUUUUGUUUGUGUCUGUUUGGAUUAGUUUUUCUUUUUUCUCUUUUUUUUAUUUUGUUUUUUUCUCCCUUCUAUUCAUUUUCUUUUCCCCCUUUUUCCUUACACAUUUCCUCAUUUCUUUUUUGAUAUUUUGUCAUUUAUUUUCCUCUUAUUUUUCAUUGUUUUCAUUUUCUCAUUUCCAAUUCUUAUGUUUCCCAUUUUUCUCAUUUUGUGUUUUUUCUAAUUUUUAAUCCUUUUACUUAGGACUACCAUUUUUUUAAGAUUUAGAUUUUAUUUAUUUGAAAAACAGAGAGAGGAAGUAACCUGGACAGAAAGAAAUAGGCUAAUUAGAAUUACUGAAUAGAAUUGUUGUUAGUAUAGUUAUUAUAGCUAGUGUUGUUUUUCUUUUCUUUGCAGAUUUGCUUUUUUUUGUAUUUUCUCAUUUUAAUAUUUUUAUUUUGAUAAUUUUAAUGAUUAGUGUAGUAUAGUUAAUGUACUGUUGUAUACUUAAUAUAGUUUUAUCUGUUAGUAAUAUUUGCAUAGUUAGCAUUAUUCAUUUUUAUUUGCUUUAUGGUUAACGUAGGUGAUUACUUGGGGCUACCAGUAUUUUAGAGUAGAGAGGUGAGUCCCACCACAGAAGACCGCACAUCCUUCCACCAUGAGGAGGAAGUCGUCGAUGGAAACCAGGUCCAGUACAGCUUUGGCCAGGAGAGGCUGCCCCACCAUCUGGAAAGUGGGACCCAAGUGGCCAUGUGUCGCUCCGUGGCUCGUGCGGGCUCACGGUGUUCCUGCCCAGAGACUGUCCACCUCCAACAGCGGCAAAGCCACUGCCCUGAAGCCUGCACACCCUGAAAACAGAGCUGACACCUGGGAGAGUUUCGACAGUGCUGCGAACUCAAGAGCAGGCUUCUGCGACAGGGGUUCAAAAAGUUAUGUGGGAAAUGGAUUUAGGGGUGAGUUUAUUUUUGGUGCAAAUUUUCUUUUUUAAUUCUUUUUUUAAAAAGAUGUACUUAUUUAUUUAUUUGAAAGACAGAGUUACAGAGAGAGGGAGAAAGAGAAAAAGAGUUCUUCCACCUGCUGGUUCACUCCCCAAAUGGCUACAGCGGCUGAAGCUGAGCAGAUCCGAAGCCAGAAUCCAGGAGCUUCUUCUGGGUCUCCCACAUGGGUGCACAGUCCCAGGUACUUGGGCCAUCCUCCAUUGCUUUUCCAGACCAUUAGCAGGGAGCUGGAUCAGAAGUGGAGCUGCUGGGCCUCAAUCUGGCUCCCAUGUGGGUUGCCAGUGCCACAGGCAGAGGCUUAACCUACUACACCACAGUGCCAGUUCCCUUUUAUAAUACUUGCAUACAAGGAGUACUUAAAAAGUUCACAGUGUGUAUUGUGAGAAGACUAUGAAUGCAUUUCAAUUUUUUUGUGUGCCAAAAUAGAUAAUUGUUUGUGUAAAUGCAAGGCACAGAGACAGAGAACAACAGAAAGAGAUAGUUUCCAUUUACUGGUUUACUCCCCAAAUGCCCACAAUGCCCUGAGCUUGGCCAGGUUGAAAUCAGAAACCAGGAACUCAGUCCAGAUCCCCUGUGGGAGUGGCAGGGAGUAACUUAAGCCAUCAGUACUGCUUCCCAAGGUCCACUUAGCAGGUAGCUAGAGGCAGGACAACAGGCAGAGCCAGGCAUCGAACCCAGGCAUUCUGAUGUGAAAUAUAGGCAUCUUAACCCAGAUCUUAAUUGCUAGGCUAAACACGUGUCCCUAAAUGUAUCUUUUAAUUUUAUUUUCCAUGAAGUUAUUGAAAUACAUUCCAAUUGUUAAGUGGCUUUUUUAAAAUUGUGUAAUUUAUUUGAAAGGCAGAAAGACAAUGAGACAGAGAGAGAGCUCCCAUUUGCUGGUUCACACACUCGAUCUGGGCAACUGGGGAUGCAUCAGGACAAAGCCAGGAGUCGGGAACUCAACCCCAGGUGCAAGUACUUGUGUGCCCACCUGCUGCCUUGUAGGAAGCUAGAACCAGAGGCAGAGCUGGGACUUGAACACAGGCACUUUGACGGAAUGCAGGCAUCACAAUCAGUGUCUUAACCACUGCGCCAAAGUACCUGCCCCUGUUAUUUGGCUUUGCCAGAAUAAAAAACAAAAUCUAUUGCUCUAAAAUAACUACCAGACUCUUGGGCACGGAAUGAUAACUCGGUGCGUCUAGGCCCAGGGUUGUCGGGAAAAGGCAGGAUGAAAGUGUGCAAAGAGGCCUUGUCUCUACAAAAGGAGACCCCCAAGAGACUAAAGUUUAAAAGUCAGUGCUUUCGAGAGAGGCUGAAACUUUGCAAAAGCCUGUUUUGCUGUUUCUUUCUGCUUUGGCAUUAGUUUGCAUUAUUGUGCUGGUCUUUGAUUUACAUGUUUUAGAGCAACAGCAAGCCCUGCCUCUAUAAAAUAGGAAAAAGAAAGCACAAUCUUUGAAAUUUCAAACGACAGGUGGUUUAGAUAUUGGUUUGUAAUGUGGGGUUCCACUGGAGCUCAUGCAUAAUUUUGCCUUUUCAAAUGGAUUUACACAGCUCAGAUGCAUCCGGAAGAGCCUGGGGCUCCUCCGUGUGAUGGCUGCAAGUGGCACGGCAUUUUGAGUCUUCAGAGCUGGAGUUACUGACCUCAGUAGUUCAUUAAGGAGAGGGCAAUCUUCAAUCUGAACAGCGCUAAAUGCAUAUAAGUCAGUUCAAAGGCAAGACCAGUUCUGGGAGGGAUUUGCCACAUCUCUAGUAUAUGAGUGUCUGGCAGCACUGUGUGUCUGGAAAACUUUGAUCUGUGUGGUGGCUUCACAAAGGUGCCUCUUGCCUGAGCCAAGGUCAGGGUCCACGUUUCCAGGACUCUUAUCUCUCCAGUGUGCUUUUCAAUACCAUAUUGAUCAUUCAUUCUACUCAAGGGCAUGAUGUGCCAUUUUCAAAGAGGAUUUAACGUGUUAUAGGACAUCUUGUAAAUAAUUUUAAAAACAUGAGCCUGCAUUUUAUGCAUUCCAAAGACAGCAUUUGCAUUGAGACUUGUUGAUAUAAUUAAUUGGACUGCACAGUGCCGACAUUGAAGGGCACAAAGCAUUUCUCCCCAGCACUUCUUGGGCCAGUUUCCUGUGGAUGUUAAUGUUAUCAUCUCUGGCUGGAGCCACAGCUCACUUGGCUAAUCCUCUGCCUGCGGCGCCGGCACACUGGGUUCUAGUCCCAGUUGGGGCGCCGGAUUCUGUCCUGGUCGCUCCUCUUCCUGUCCAGCUCUCUGCUGUGGCCCGGGAGUGCAGUGGAGGAUGGCCCAAGUGCUUGGGUCCCUGUACCCGCAUGGGAGACCAGAAGCACCUGGCUCCUGGCUUCGGAUGUGCAGGCCACAGCACAGCGGCCAUUGGGGGAGUGAACCAAUGGCAAAGGAAGACCUUUCUCUCUCCCUGUCCACUCUGCCUGUCAAAAAAAAAAAAAAAAAAAAAAGCUUUCUAAUAAAUUUAUUUCCCUCCUUUAUUUUCUUCUCUUCUUCCAUGUUUGUCUCCUUAAGGAGCUAAUACAUAUAUAAACCAUUUAUCAUUUUUGUUAUUACUCCUGCCUUCAGAUCAGCUUGCAUUCCUUCUUCAAACAGGUCCUUCAAACAGGGACCCCUGUUGUUGUUGAGAUGGCAGCUUUCUGUUGUUGGGAAAACUGGGAUUGAUAGUGACUCCCAACUCUCAGUUCUGGGGGAGGCCCCAGGACUGGCCAUUGCAAGUGUGUGCACCCAGCUCCCCUCUGAGUGCCCCAUGCUGUCCCAGGCAGCUCUGCUCAGGAAUUUCAGCCAGGCUCAUUUAUCCACUUUGUGGUAUUUUGAUUAAAGAGCAAGCACUCAGGUAUUUGUGAACAAAAUAUGAAAAUAUCCAGACAUUCUGUUUGCAUUAAGAAAAUCUGGGUGCUAACAUAUUACAUUGCCAAGACUUAGUAAAAUAAUUAGGAAUGAGAGAUAUUUUUCUUGAUUUCCUAAACAGAUAAUCAGCUGUAACUAAGAGAUGUUUACAUAUUGAGUUAAUGGUAGAUUUCAGUUCAACUCCAAAGCAAAGCAGAGAUGCUAGGAGAGUUUUUCAUCUUGCCCCAAGCCUGGUUUUUACAGGCCAUGAUAAUUAUGUCCAAAUGACCACUCAGUGCUCUUGCCAGAGUUGAUUGAAGAAAGACAAUUUGCUGCGCUGUAUGUAUUGCCUUAGGAAACAGUGAGCCAAAUUCUCUAAGAGACACUUCUGUUUUUCAGUUAAAUAUGUUGAAUGAGUGUAAGCAUUUUAUAAGCCGGAUAUAUAUAUAUAUUUUUUUUGACAGGCAGAGUGGACAGUGAGAGAGAGAGAGAGAGACAGAGAGAAAGGUCUUCCUUUUUACCAUUGAUUCACCCUCCAAUGGCUGCUGCGGCUGGCGCACUGUGACCGGUGCACCGCGCUGAUCUGAUGGCAGGAGCCAGGUACUUAUCCUGGUCUUCCAUGGGGUACAGGGCCCAAAUACUUGGGCCAUCCUCCACUGCACUCCUGGGCCACAGCAGAGAGCUGGCCUGGAAGAGGGGCAACCGGGACAGAAUCCGGCACCCCGACCGUGACUAGAACUCAGUGUGCCGGCGCCGCAAGGUGGAGGAUUAGCCUAUUGAGCCACGGCGCCGGCCUUAGAUAUUAUUUUGACUUAACCUCUCUGUGCCAGGUAAAGCCCUUGCCUUCACUUUCCAAGUCCUGCCCCUUCUUCUCUGCUGUAUAGUCCAGUCAACUUGGCUUAAAGCAAUCUCUGCCUCCUUUGAAUGCCUUUUACUGUGCUUGCCCAGGUGACCCCUGUGGCAUUUACCCCAUGCUGCAGACUCUCACUCCUAAUAUAUCUCAAUGCAUCUCAUUUCCCAAGUCUGAGGAACAGUUUCACAACCUUGUCUGCACAAACAGUUCUCUCAGCAUUUCCUGAACACAGGUUCAUCAGUCGACAGCAGCAUGUGAGUUGUGCUAGGCAGUGAGGGCAUGGUGAACUUGGACAUGACCACCACCCUCUUGAGUUGAUCCGUCCAGUACAUUCAUGAGUCGGAGUCAAAGAAUGCAUAUUAUUUGCAGAAUCAGGUAUAAUGUUUGGACCAGUUUGAGGGUCCUGAAGAUGCUUUUGAGAAAGGAGCUACGAUUCUACUUUGCCUGUUGGCAAGCUUACGUCUGGUAAUGGAAGGCCAAGAGCUGGUGUGUAUGCUUUUGCUGCAAGUGGGAUCAAUGAGUUUCUUACAGCUGCUUUUGAAAAGGUGUAUGGCACAAACCUAUUUCAGUAAGUCCAUAGUUGUCUCUUUUAGGCUCUUCCCCCGAACACAGGACCCCUAGAAAUCAAUAUUCAUAUGCAUUGUACCUUUGGAAGCACGAAUUUACGGAGUUGUUAGGUUGUUCGAGUGAUCAAAGACUGACUAGCAGCUAACUCUUUCCAUUUUAGACUAUAAGUUAAACUUUUGUUCAUUGUUGCUCAAAAGUUGUCAAUAAGGCACUGGUGCGUUGAGUUAAGCUUGCAAAACCAGGGUCCCCUAUUGCAGUGCCGCUUCGAGUCCUGGCUGCUCCGCUUCCAAUCAAGCUCCCUGGGGGCCGGCGCCGCGGCUCACUAGGCUAAUCCUCCGCCUUGCGGCGCUGGCACACCGGGUUCUAGUCCCAGUCGGGGCUCCGGAUUCUGUCCCGGUUGCUCCUCUUCCAGGCCAGCUCUCUGCUAUGGCCCGGGAGUGCAGUGGAGGAUGGCCCAAGUGCUUGGGCCCUGCACCCCACAGGAGACCAGGAGAAGCAUCUAGCUCCUGGCUUCAGAUCAGCGUGAUGCACUGGCCGCGAUGCACCAGCCGCGGCGGCCAUUGGAGGGUGAACCAAUGGCAAAAGGAAGACCUUUCUCUCUGUCUCUCUCUCUCACUGUCCACUCUGCUUGCCACCCAUGAGGGAGACCUGAAUGGAGUUCCAGCCUCCUGGUUUCGGCUUGGCCCCAGCCCUGGCUCUUGUGGCCAUGUAGGGAGUGAACCAGCAGAUGGAAGAUUUCUUUUCCUUUCUCUGUGUCACUCUGCCUUUCAAAUAAAUAAAUAAUAAAUAAUCUUUUUAAAAGUUGUCAAUAAAAAAUAAAUUAGGUGAAUAUUUUUAAAUGCAAUUUUCUUUUUUUUAAAGAUGUUAUUUAUUAUUUAAAAGGCAGAGUUACAAAGAGGCAGAGACAGAGACAGAAAGAGGGGUGUUCCAUUUCCUGGUUCACUCCCCAAAUGGCCCAAAAGCCAGAGCUGGGCCAAUUCGAAGCCAGGAACCAGGAGCUUCUUCCAGGUCUCCCAUGCAGAUGCAGAGAGAUGGACCAUCUUGUGCUGCUUUCCCAGGCCAUAGCAGGGUGUUGGAUUGGAAGUGGAUUGGGUCAGCACUAUGGUGCAACAGGUUAAAUCCCUGGCCUAAAGUGCCAGAAUCCCAAAUGGGUGCCAGUUCUAGUCCUGGCUGCUCUUCUUCCUUGGGCCUCUGCACCUGCGUGGGAGACCUGGAAGAAGUUCCUGGCUCCUGGCUUUGGAUCGGCACAGCUCCGGCCGUUGUGACCAUCUAGGGAGUAAACCAACAGAUGGAAGACCUCUCUCUCUGUCUCUACCUCUCUCUGUAACUCUGUCUUUCAAAUAAAUACAAUAAAUCUUUAAAAAAAAAAAAAAAAGAAGUGGAGCAGCUGGGACUUGAACCAGCGCCCAUCGGGAUACCGGCACUGUAGGCAGAAGGCUUUACCCACUAUGCCACAGUGCUGGCCCCAGGUGAAAUAUUUUACAAGUUAGGUGUCAACAAUACAAAAAAGUUUCUGGUUCAAUAUGGCAACAUGACUCUCCUAAAACAUUAAUAAAUUAUGGAAAACCACAUCUAAAGGUAUAAAACAAAGAACACAGGAAGAGUUAAUAGUAAAAGAGAGAUUGUGCGAAAGUCGUGGAAGUUAGAAAACGGUUGGAGUUUUGGAAUAGGAGCCUGAAGCAGCCACUACCGAGGACAAGGGAGGAGACAAGGGGGCUGUGUGCUCUGAGAGCCCUGGAAGGCUCACAACUGAGAAGAACUAGGGUGCAGGGGCAUAGGAGGGAGACAUGUGAUAAAAGUAGGCAACUAAUUGAUCACUAUGGACCUAAGCCCCCACUCCCGUGUAGCAUACAGGCAGUCAGACGACUUCCCAGGCAGAGGUAACAAAAGCUCUUCUCUUUUUAAAAAGAUGUAUUUGGAAGGCAGAGUUACAGAGAUGGGCAGACAACUGGAGGGAGGGAGUGGAGGAGGGAGGGAGAAAGGGGGAGAUAGAGAAAGAGGUGGAGAGAGAAUGAAUGAAUGAAUGAAUGAAUCUUCUAUCUGCUGGUUCACUUCCAAAUGAGCACAACAGCCAGAGCUGGGCCAGGCUGAAGCCUGGAAUUCCACCUGGGUCUCCCACGUGGGUGGCACGGGCCCAAGUACUUGGGCCCUCUUCCGCUGCUUUCCCGAUGCAUUUCCAUGGAACUAAACCUGGAACCGCUGCUCAAAUGGGAUGACCGUGUCACCAAAGGCCACUUAACCCACUGCGCUACAAGGUUGACCCUAGCGAAAGGUCGUCACUGCAGAAAUUGCCAAAAUGUGUCAGAAACUUGCAUAGGUUGUGACACCUGGGGCCAAGACCCCACAGAAUUAUGGCAGCCUGUGUCCCUUAGCACACAGCUGGUGAACCAGCCCCAUUUCAUUCAUUGAGAACUGCCUGUAGGUACGACCUCACUCACAUUCAGAAAGCCGUCACUCAGUCAUCUUACUAUUUCCUAACUAUAAACAGGAACAAAGUAUCCCUGGUCCUUUAAGGAAACUCAGUAUAUAGGUGAUGAAGGCCUAGAAAAUAAGUCAUAAAAAAGAGAGAAACAGACAAGAGCAAUACCUUGCAAGAAACAGAUAAUCUAGGAAUAACAACAAACUUUAAAAAAUGUAACUCACGUCACAGAGACAUUAGGGAACACAGUGCACCUCUUAAAACAAGAACAGUAUGCUCCAUAAAAACAGAGGACACAGUGAAAAAUGCAUGAUAGACUCAGAAAGUAUUCUUGGUAUUAAAAGAUCUAUCAGACUUAAACAUCAGUUGAAUUGUUGAACAGUAAAGUAAGUGAAUUUCAAAAAAGGUGAAACAAAUCUAAAAAGAAAGGAAAACAUAACGGAAAUGUAGGAGAGAAAAAAAAGCUAAUCUUGGAGGCCCAUCCCAACUCAUAGACAUUUCAGAAAGAGGAACCGAGUUAACUAAAGAGAGGGACUAGACAAAACAGUUUUUCUUAGAACUGAAGGUCAUUCGUGGUGAGGUUGAACAUAUCCACUGGAUGUUCAAAACGAUUACAAAAUGCAGGUGGCCAUUAGCUGUGCUAUUUGAAAUUGGAGAAAGCUGGGGUCAGUAAACAGGCCUUGCCAGCUCCCAGAGGGGAGGAAAGCCAGACACUCCCAGAGGAACUAGAGUCUGAUUGGCUCAGUCUUCUCGUGAGUUGUAGAAAAAGAAAGGGAAGCAAUGUCUUAAAAUUGCUGAAGGAAAAAAAUCUUCAAUCUAGAUUUGUACAACCAGCUUAAUUAUCAAUGAGGUCUGAGAUUUGCUUCUGGUGUGCUCAGUUUUACAAGCAAAAUGGGGAUGGAGAGAGGUGAUCUAAGAAAUAAUGAGAUGAGCCUGCCAUACAGAAAAUGUUGGCUGGAGUCCAGGAGAGUGAUGAGGGCUGUCUCCGCCUGUCUGUCGGGCAGUUUGGAGAGAAAUUUCUGAAGACUGGAGCAGGAUGGGAGAAGGCUCAGGGAGGGGUGUAUUUAGGUGAAUAUAGAUUCCUUGAGAAUCUGAAAAACCUAAGGAGACAACAGUGACAGAUAAUUCAACACAAAAGAAAGGUAACAGAAAACUCCAGGAAAAACAAAAAGCUUUAUAAGGGAGUAGAAUUAUAGUUGUGCAUGAAAUAGUUACUUUGUCAUGACAAUUUUAAAAUAAUUUUCAAUUUUAUAUUGAUAUUAUAAAAAAGUACAUGAAACAACUUUGUGAAUGAAAAACAGAAGGUAGUGUUGCCAUCUUUUUAUAUAAACAAAAAAUACAAAGAAUACUAUUUGGCGACAGAUGGGAGGAGACCUAACAUGUAAAAUCAAGCGAUAUUAGUGGUUGAUCGAGAAAUGUGAAAAUGCAUUAAUUAAAGUUGAAAAGAUGCAUAGUGUAGAAAAUAAAAAUAGUGAUGUAUAAAUAUUAGGAAGAGGUGUGGAAAGUGGCAAAAGAAAGCUGUAUUUGCAUUUUGCAUAGCAUGAAGGUUUUGACAAUGCCCAGGUGUAUAAAUAUAUUAUUUAGCAGUAUGGCUGUAAUCACCAGAAGAAGGCAAAUCAUAACAGUUGAAAACAUUCAAGAUGGUUUUGUAUAAGUUGUAACAGGUAGAAAAAAUUGGGGCAUGGGCAUGUAGCUUUUUAUCGUAAGUCAUUCUAUGUUGUUUUUAAAACCAUAGGGUGGGUGUUUGUCCUUGUGGUUAAGACACUUGCAACUCCAAUCACAGUACCUGGGGCUUAAGCCAGAUUCUACCUCCUGACUCCAGCUUCCUGCUAAUUUAGAUCUUGGGAGGCAAGCAGAGGAUGGCUCAAGUAAUUGGAUUCCUGUCACCCAUGUGAGGGACCAGGAUCGAGUUCUAGCUCCCUGCUUCAGCCUCAGGCUGGGCCCCACCAUUGUGAGCAAUUGGGUAGCAAAUCAGUGGAUAGAAACUCUUUCUCUCUUCAUCUCAAAUAAAAAAAUAAUUUUAAGUGUAUAUUCUUUACUUUGAUAACAGUUUUAAAUAUUACACAAAUAUGAAGAUUUAUGGACAGAGAACUCAUCUUGGGGAAAUUUUCACCAGAUCAAAAGCCUGUCUUUCAUGUCAGGCUCCUGCCUACGCCUGCACAGGGUCCUUCCUCCUGUGUCAGGCCUUCCCCUGAUCAGACAUUCUCCCAACUUCUAAGACGGUACUUUGGAUGGGAGAUUGUUUGCAGGUUUAUGUGUGAAAUCCAGAACAGAACUGCUGAGAUUCAUAGUAGGUGUCCCAGAAAAUUCCUGACUGUAUCAAGAUGAGAUAAAAAGAAGUGAGCAGGUUGUGGAAGCAGCUGGGAGGAGCUGUCCUAAGGGAACAUGGGCCCUUUUGAUGUCACAAUGAAGUCAGUGCUGCUUGGGAUGGCAGUUAAGAUACAAUUCAAUCCCAGACUCUAUGCCCCACACAGCAAGGGCUGAAUUAUGCACUUACUAUGUCAGUUACUUUGUACUUGUUAUAGUUGAUCGCCACAGUUCCAUGCCAUUAGUAUCGUCACUGCCAAUUCAGUUGAAGAAGAGAGGCUCAAGAGAGUGUAGGUAACUUGCUCAAGAUUUCACAGUCAAUGCAUGGGAGCUAAGGGUGUGAAUCCUGCUCAGCUGACUGCGUUCCAGUCACGCUGCCUUCCUGCCUCCCUUUCUUUUUUAUUUUUUAAAAAUAUUUAUUUUAUUUGAGAGAGUUACAGAGAGGGAGACACACACACACAUACACACACAGAGAGAGAAUUUUCCAUCUGCUGGUUCACUCCCCAAGUAGCUGCAUCAGCUGGGGCUGGGCCAGGCUGAAGCCAGGAGCCAGGAACUUCAUCUGGGCCUCCCAGGUGAGUGCAGGGGCCCAAGUACUUGGACCAUAUUCUGCUGCUUUCCCAGGCACAUGGGGCUGGAUCAGAGGUGGAGCACCCAAGACUCACACCAGCACCCAUAUGGGAGGCAGCAGUUUAACCUGCUGGGUCACAAUGCCCUUUCUCCCUCCUUCCUUUCUUUCCCUGUCUUUCCUUCCCUUCCUCCUCCCCCACCCCCUUCUUUAUUUCUCUAGUCAUUACCAACAUGCAUGCAGUUCUUGGAUUCUUGGAGUUACCUGCUAAUUUUUGGAGUUUUCCUUUAUGUCCUCCUUCCUAUCUCUGUCAAUACAUUACAUCACCAGCAACUUAACUCUGUUUUGAGUUCUGUCCUUGGAAACAGACCGCCUCCAUCUGAACCUUGCUCUGUGUGUGAUCAGCCCCUCCUGUGGUGCUGAGCAGUGAGAUGGCCUCUGCGGCCUGUGGCGGCCUCACCUGUGGAAAGGCCAUUAUCAUCCAUUCACUGGGGAUCGAAUGAGCUGGUCUAUACAAAGCUCUACAGCCAGUGCCUGACGCCAUUACCUUCUGGCCUUCUCAAGCAAGUUUGGGCUUUCCUUCCCCCAUCUCCCUCAUUUGGAAGACUUCUAUGAAGAGUUCUAUGAUAACAGACUGCUUAGCAAUUUUACUUCUGGUUUGCAACCACUAUGCAAUAUUUUGUUGUGUUCGUUUUGUAUUUUUCAUUUAAGAGCACUUAGAAUGGGGGACCCAUGCUAGGACUCACUAGAAAGCCGCCACUUUUCUCAGGGGUCCAAAUAGUCAAAUAAACAUUGGGUACCCUGUGUAUUCAUUUAUCUAUUGACUCAUUCAUUCUCUGUGCCAUGUGCCGGGUUUGCUGAUAGGAGUAAGGUGACCACACACCGGUGUUCCAACUCUAUCUACAAAAAGGCAGGCAAAAUACGGUUCCCAGGUUGGUAUUUGAUCUUUGGUGUGUGUGAGUGCUAGCUGCUGUCGGAAUUAAGAUAAUGGUGUCUGGAAUUCUGAAUGUGCCUCUGUUAAGUCACUUGUAAUCUGUUAACAUUGAACAAUUAAAUGGUUGUGGAAUAGUACAGCAGUGUGGGCCAAAAAUCCUGUCAAUGAAUGCAAGAGGAUCUUAAGCAGCUUAUUGAAAUAAAAAAGGUAAAGUUUCAAAAAAUGGUAUUCAGCCUUUAUUCUGUGAUGAGAAGAAAAAUGCCAGUGCUUUAAUUGCAAACAUGAUUUCCUGAAGCAUUCCAAGUUUUCCUUGGAGACUUCCAGGGCCAGGGAUUGACUAUCCUUGUGCCUACUUGGAUAGAAAAGGGCUUGAUAAAAGUGCUCUGUCUGCUGGCACAGUUUAAUCACUUAAUACCUUGUUCCAAUUGAAAACAUAACCCAAGCCCAUUCAGAUGAUGGAGCACCUAUACUUGAUCUGUCUAUGGCUUGUGCAGUCACUGAUAUUUCCAAGGGAAGUCUUGUGAUUAUCGAAAUGGAAAUUAAUUUCAUAGACUUGGGGCUGAACUGAAAAAAAAAUGCUCAUUCUUGUAAUCCGCUGAGGAUAAUUCCUGAAAAUGUUUCUCAGAGUAAAUAAACUCAGGACCAGUCUGAAAGGAAUGGGCUUGUGUGGGGGCUGGGGACUGGGAGCAGAGGUGUGAUUGGGGUUGG